CACACUGUAAACGAUGAUUGCUAGGUGUGGGGGGCAACCCCUUCCGUGCCGCAGCUAACGCAAUAAGCAAUCCACCUGGGGAGUACGGCCGCAAGGCUGAAACUCAAAGGAAUUGACGGGGGCCCGCACAAGCAGUGGAUUAUGUGGUUUAAUUCGAAGCAACGCGAAGAACCUUACCAGGUCUUGACAUCCAACUAACGAAGCAGAGAUGCGUUAGGUGCCCUUCGGGGAAAGUUGAGACAGGUGG
rnacentral:rRNA from 1 species